GACGAACGCUGGCGGCGUGCUUAACACAUGCAAGUCGAACGGAAAGGCCCUGCUUUUGUGGUGUGCUCGCGUGGCGAACGGGUGAGUAACACGUGAGUAACCUGCCCUUGACUUUGGGAUAACUUCAGGAAACUGGGGCUAAUACCGGAUAGGAGCUCCUGCUGCAUGGUGGGGGUUGGAAAGUUUCGGCGGUUGGGGAUGGACUCGCGGCUUAUCAGCUUGUUGGUGGGGUAGUGGCUUACCAAGGCUUUGACGGGUAGCCGGCCUGAGAGGGUGACCGGCCACAUUGGGACUGAGAUACGGCCCAGACUCCUACGGGAGGCAGCAGUGGGGAAUAUUGCACAAUGGGCGGAAGCCUGAUGCAGCAACGCCGCGUGCGGGAUGACGGCCUUCGGGUUGUAAACCGCUUUCGCCUGUGACGAAGCUUGAGUGACGGUAAUGGGUAAAGAAGCACCGGCUAACUACGGG
rnacentral:rRNA from 1 species